rnacentral:lncRNA from 1 species
CACGUCUCACGAGUUCAUCAGGCUACACAAGGUUCUGGCUUCAUAGGAAUCAUCACGCUGCGUAUCACCUCACUGCAAGUUAAUCAGAUUCUAGGCCACUCACGAAUUUUCGUUUGUCCUCAUUGUCUUGCUGUAAAUCUGGGUCACAUGCAUGUGCAUACAACCGAACACUCAGAUCAAUUACAUUGCUAUUGAUUGAUUCAAGCCAUCAAUCCA